CUCUCUUUAAAAAAAAAAAAAAGAAAUAGUAUACCAUUGUAGUCAAAUUUGUCUUUUGUUUCAGCACUUUUGAAGAAUUUUAGCUGCUUUCAGGACGGUUUGUUUAUUUAUUACUGUUGACAUUUCUUUCUAAACCUGGAACUUCAUAAACAGGAUGCAUAUUUUGAGUUUAGACUUUGAAUGUAAAAUCUGCUCUGAUUUCUAGCACCAUUUAUUUCUAGCUGCAGUUUGAUCUCUAUCUUUAGGUUUGAUCUCUAGGUUUGAUCUCUAUCUGUAGGUCAGGGCCUAUGAGAUCAUGCUUGUAAAGUGUGUGUUUAUUCAAAUGCACAUUUAAUUGAAAUAUCUCAGUAGAAGCAGGUAUCUUGACUCACUUAAAAUUAUCUUACAGUUUAAAAUUUAAAGCCAUGUUGGGAUUAAAUCAAAAUUCUUUAAAUUCGAGGUAGAAUGUAGAACCAAGUUAUAGAGUCUCGUAUAGAUUUUAAUAUGUAAAAUCUUUUGUUGGCAUACAGAUAAAUGCUACAGUAGCAAUGGUGUUGUUUUUUUCUGAUUAUGUUCCAGUAGUAAUAGUGUCCCUAUUACUUACCUGUGCUGUUUUGGAGAUGCAGAAAUAAAUUAUGAAGGGACAUGUAGUGCUUCUGUAGAUUUUUGCCUUUGAUGUUUUUGACUUCUCAUUGAUUAUGGGGUCAAAUGAUUAAUUUUUUAAAAAAGUAGAACUGUAGUCAGCUGGCAUCUAGUACUGUAAAAUGUUAGGAUUUUAAAGCUAAGGUUCAAAACAUUUAUUUCAAAGAUCAUAUUAUUGAAGUUAACAGUGUAGAAAUGCAGUCCUUUGAUAUAAGCCAAUCUUAAAUUACUGUCAGCUGUUGUAUUUAUUGUAUUCCAUGUCAACUUCUAGAGUUAUUUUAGUGGGGUAUUUCAUUGUUUUGUAGCUUGGAACAGCAAUUUGAGAUUGAAUCCUCAUUCUAGCUCAGAGGAAGGAACAGAAUGAGAAAGCUGGAUUGUUUCCCCACUUAUCCGAAGACUUAACUGUGAAGUGGUUUGAAUUUCAUAAGUUUACUAAUAAUUAGUAAGAACUAUUUUGGGGCCACUUACAUGGUUUUGGAAAAAGGCAUACUUUCUAUAACUUUAAAAAAAUUUAUUUUGGGGACUGGGGUGUAGAUCAGUAACAGAGUCUAUGCUUAGCAUGUGUGAGGCCUUGGGUUUAAUUCCCAGCACCAAAAACAAAACAAAAAAUUAUAUGGAACAUGAUCAUGACUACUAUGAACCUAAAAUUUAAUGUAGGAGAAAUUUGCUUCUAUCUCUCAGAAGGUUGGUGUGUGAGUUAGAAGUCCUGGACAAUGGAAACUAAUUUCUUAAAGAAGUUAAAUGUAUUUGUUUACAUUUUAACUCUAUAACUCCUUUAAUAAUUUGAAGUUGCUAUUUUAGGUAAAACUGAUAGUCUACUACAAUUAUUUCUGCAUACUUUCUAGAGGCAUCAUAGAAUAUCUGCUUGGAUGUUUAGAAAUUAUUUAUAUCUCUGUUUUUUCCUAAAUCAAAGAGUUAGAAGUUAGUUAAAAGCUGUUAUAAUUUGAAAGUCAACCCCAAUCAAAUGUGUUUGAAUUUAUUUAUAAAAUUGUGAUAAAAAAGAAGUUUAGGGGCUGGGGUUGUAGCUCAGCGGUAGAGCGCUCACCAAGCACGU
rnacentral:lncRNA from 1 species